UACGAAGGGGGCUAGCGUUGCUCGAAAUGACUGGGCGUAAAGGGCGCGUAGGCGGCGGUCACAGUCAGAUGUGAAAUUCCCGGGCUCAACCUGGGGGCUGCGUUUGAUACGUGCGGGCUUGAGUUCGGAAGAGGGUCGUGGAAUUCCCAGUGGUAGAGGUGAAAUUCGUAGAUAUCGGGAGGAACACCAAUGGCGAAGGCAGCUUGCUGGGACGGUACUGACGCUGAGACGCGAAAGCGUGGGGAGCAAACAGGG
rnacentral:rRNA from 1 species